CUCUUCUUUCUCUCUCUCUCUUUCCUUCUUUCUUUUCUCUUUGUUGCACUGCUGCAAUAAAGAUCUCUUGGUUGCUCCGAGUGUUGUGGUCACUUUCCUUUUAUUGGUGCCGAAACCCGGGAGAGGGUUAAAACCCACUUUUGGGUCCCUCUUCCUUCGGAAGUGCCACUCACCGGAUGGCCUGAACCCAGGCCUGAACCCAUUUUCUUGAUCACGAGAACUCCAUCCACCACCAAGCUUCGAUUGUCUCCGGCCUCUUCAGGAGGGGAACCGAAAAGAAAAGCCUUGGCAAAGGUCUCCCACUGCUCCAGCUCCGCGUCCAGGAGGAGAUCUUCGACUGUCAGGAUUCGGGUGACGACCAAUCUCUGCAGCUUGAACCUGCCACUAAGUUUUUAUCUCAAACCACAGAUGCCGCUUUUACAUCCAAGUGACAUGGCACCAGGAUGACACCACCCACUCUCAGUUUAUGGGUCAAGGCUAUUGCCCUUCCACUGGCUGCAAUCAGGCUGUCACCCUUAACAUUACUGGAUUCAACCAAGCCACCUCCAAUACUUCCUAGAGUCCCUGCUACAGGACCAGUGGCUGAUACCAAGAAUCUCCUCCAUCCAGGGCUGGUUUGAUGCCAUCGAGGACUUGUGGCUUCAAGGAACUUUUAUGGACUUUGCCCCUACCACAGUAGUUGUCUGUAGCCACGAAGUGUUAUUUCUGGCUGCCCUGGUGUUCUCAGACCUGUCCCUCGAACAUUCCUCCACUUCUCCUUCUAGGUCUAACUCCCCCCACCAUUAAGCAGGAAGUAGCCGUUUAUGCAUUCCCCCAUGUCACUUAGAAAAACAAAAAGGGAGGAAUGUUGGGUGCAGAGCAAGCUGAACUGUGUUGUCUGCAGGGCAGGCUGAACAGAUGUUGGCUGCAAGAU